CACGCACGCACGUCCUCGGCUGCCCCCGGCCACCCCCACCGGCCCGACGUGGGGACCCGGGGAGACCCCUCGGGGCCUGCGGUGGAGAUUGUCAAUGCCGCGGCGUCGGUGGGCCUUGUCAAUCAGUUGAAGGACGAGAGAAAAAUGAGUUUCCGUUGAAAGAAGGAACUGUUCCUCCAAUGGCCUUCGGACAUCAGCUCUGCCCUGUGUCUCCAGCCCAGAGUCCUGCCCUGACUUGCCUGCCGCACAGUCACGAUGGCUCACAGACAGCUGCUCCCACCCGCCACCAUUCGAUGGAUGUCACAGCAAGCCCUGGGGACUUCCCUGGAGGUCCAGUGAUUAAGACUCCGAGCUUCCACUGCAGGAGGCACGGGUUCGAUCCCUGGUCAGGGAGAUAAGAUCCCACAUGCCGC